AUGUUAUCAUUACAUCCUAUUUCCCUUUACUUAGGAAGCUGCUUUUUCCCAGCUUUUUCUGGUCUUCAGUGACUGAUUAAUCUGUCACGCCGGACUGUCCGUUGCACAUGAUGAAGCGAACAGAUAGACAGGGACCCUGGUUCAACUCGUAUGUGUGCUUCCUUCAUGCAUGUAAUGGAAAACAGGUGGGCACCCUGUAGGCCAUCGGAGUUGAUUGCUACCUCGUGAUUGGUCUUCUGGAUGAAACCCCCAGCUGACAGCAAUCUUUCUCUUCACUCUCCUACUCCCAACCAUGUGCCAGUUUAGAGUGUUGUUGUGUGAAACCCCUUUGUAAGUAGAAAAAACCGCAGCUUAGUGAUUUUGAAUGUUUGUGGAAACUCUGUGAGGUGAAGACCUCAAUUCAUUGACCUUAGCAAUUGUUUGCUGUAAACAGAUCUUUGUAAAUAAGGAUUUGGAUAUAUUGAGCACUUGGUAGCAGAUUAAUUAAGAGUGAGAGGUUAUUUUGUGCACAGCUCAUCUCUGAAGAUAAAAUAAAACUGAUACUUUGCAAUUUUCCAGUGUUGAACUGGCCUUACUUAGGAGUGGGAAGACACCUAAUGUUAUGUCUAGGUUGCCCUGGGACAGGGGACAUAAUUAUGAUACAAAGAUUUCUAGAUGUAACUCUUGGAUGUGGCACAUCAGCUAGUGCUCACCAUAAAUACACACCGACAUGUAUGGAAGAGUGAACAACAAACAAAAUCAUGUCUUUAACAAAUAAAAGAAUGAGAUGGCAGGCUGGUGUUGAGGAAAUAAAGACUUGUAAAGACACUGA